rnacentral:rRNA from 1 species
GACGUAGGGCGCGAGCGUUGUCCGGAUUUAUUGGGCGUAAAGAGCUCGUAGGCGGCUUGUCGCGUCGACUGUGAAAGCCCCCGGCUCAACCGGGGAAGUGCAUCCGAAACUGGCGGGCUAGAGUACGAAAGAGGGUCGCGGAAUUCCCGGUGUAGAGGUGAAAUUCGUAGAUAUCGGGAGGAACACCGGUGGCGAAGGCGGCGACCUGGGUCGAUACUGACGCUGAGGUGCGAAAGCGUGGGGAGCAAACAGG